UACGUAGGGUGCAAGCGUUGCCCGGAUUUAUUGGGCGUAAAGGGCGCGUAGGCGGUCACGCACGUCCAUUGUGAAAUCGCUCGGCUCAACUGGGCGGGGUCAGCGGAUACGGUGUGGCUGGAGCAAGCUAGGGGGCAAUGGAAUUCCCGGUGUAGUGGUGGAAUGCGUAGAUAUCGGGAGGAACACCAGUGGCGAAGGCGGUUGCCUGGAGCUUUGCUGACGCUGAUGCGCGAAAGCGUGGGGAGCGAUCCGG
rnacentral:rRNA from 1 species